UACGUAGGUGACAAGCGUUGUCCGGAUUUACUGGGUGUAAAGGGCGCGUAGGCGGGAUAGCAAGUCAGUCGUGAAAUGCCGAGGCUUAACCUCGGAGCUGCGAUUGAAACUGUUAUUCUUGAGUAUCGGAGAGGAAAGCGGAAUUCCUAGUGUAGCGGUGAAAUGCGUAGAUAUUAGGAGGAACACCAGUGGCGAAGGCGGGUCUCUGGGCAGUAACUGACGCUGAGGAGCGAAAGCGUGGGUAGCGAACAGG
rnacentral:rRNA from 1 species